CACGAAGGGCGCAAGCGUUGUCCGGAAUUAUUGGGCGUAAAGAGCUCGUAGGCGGACUGUCACGUCCGCUGUGAAAAGCUAGGGCUUAACCCUGGCCUUGCAGUGGAUACGGGCAGACUAGAGGUAGGUAGGGGAGAAUGGAAUUCCCGGUGUAGCGGUGAAAUGCGCAGAUAUCGGGAGGAACACCGGUGGCGAAGGCGGUUCUCUGGGCCUUACCUGACGCUGAGGAGCGAAAGCGUGGGGAGCGAACAGG
rnacentral:rRNA from 1 species